CUUUGACCCUGUUGGUGCACACCCUACUGGUGAGAUUGGUGAACACUCACGUGGGGUCCCCAACACUCAUAUGUUUUUUCAGUAAGUUGCCAUUGGGAGCCUACCUGAACUUAAGAGUUUUUGGAACUGACUACUUAACUAAAGAUGGAACAAGGGUACAGGAUUAUAUCCAUGUACAUUUAGCUGACGGAUACGCUGCUGCAUUGAAAAAGCUCUCUGUCCCAAAAAUAGCUGCUGCUGUAUUUGGAGGGAAGAGUUUGGCAACCCAAAUAUCUGAGAGAUUUGCAUAUGAGAUUGCAGGCGCUAUUUUUUUCAUUAUCUUUGUAAUCCAGUCAUUCUUUUCAACAAUAGAAUCAUGAGUAUGGAUACUGGAUACUACAAAGGUUUGUAUUCAUCAUCUUUCUCAUUUAGUAAAAGUCAUCUAAUAGUUAGAUUAUUAAUGUCAAAAUUCAUUGCUUCCACCUUCAAGUCCUUUAUUUAUACUUUUGAU